rnacentral:rRNA from 1 species
UACGUAGGCAGCAAGCGUUGUUCGGAAUUACUGGGCGUAAAGAGUGUGUAGGCGGUGCUCCAAGUCUGGUGUGAAAUCUCCCGGCUUAACUGGGAGGGUGCAUUAGAAACUGGAAUGCUAGAGGAUGGGAGAGGUAAGCGGAAUUCCUGGUGUAGCGGUGAAAUGCGCAGAUAUCAGGAGGAACACCAAUGGCGAAGGCAGCACUCUGGGACGUGACUGGACGCUGAGACGCGAAAGCCGUGGGGAGCAAACAGG